rnacentral:rRNA from 1 species
AUAAGGAGUCGGACCUGCCCAGUGAAUUAAUUUUCAACGGCCGCGGUACUCUGACCGUGCAAAGGUAGCAUAAUCAUUUGCCCUAUAAUUGAGGGCUAGUAUGAAUGGUUUGACAAGAGUAUAACUGUCUCUUUGUGAAUAUCUAAAAUUUUAUCUUUAGGUGAAGAAGCCUAAAUAUAAUUAAAAGACAAGAAGACCCUAUCGAGCUUUAGACAAGUUAGUAAAUCAAAUAUAAUAUUAGAAAAUAAAAUAGUAUUUACUAAAAACUUUAGUUGGGGCGACAAAGGAACAGAAAAAGCUUCCUUUUAUAAAUAUAACUUGCUAGUAUUGAUCCAAAAAUUUUGAUUAAUGAAAUUAGUUACCGUAGGGAUAACAGCAUUAUCUUUUUUAAGAGCUCAUAUCGAAAAAAAGGUUUGUGACCUCGAUGUUGGACCAGAAUAUCCUAAAGAUGUAGAAGUCUUUAAGGGUUGGUCUGUUCGACCAUUAAAAUUCUA